UUGAUUACUGAAGUUCGAGAGCAAGAGGUGUCAAAAGCAAAUAUGGGAGCAUGAGCUGGAAGCUUAUAGUAAACCCUGAAGACUGUAAAAGGAAGCUAAUUGAAAGAUAUACUCCCUGCUAAUUAUCCUUUUCUAAGUCGAUCAAUCUCCUCUCUUGCAAUUCUUAGCAUUAAAAGUGCCUAAAGCACUAUAUAGGCUUGCUAGAACUCUCCUCUGUUUUGGCUCCAGCAGCAGUUGGUUGGGUAGUGUAGCACUGUGUAAAAUUCUAGCAUCAUUGACUAGAAAGACUGCAAAAAUCGAUUCUCAUACGCUGAGGAAACAACAAAUUUAAGCGGGUUUGAGGUAAUUUUCUUGUCAAUAGCUUUUGUAAUAUAAAAUUUAGUACCAAAUGUGGUAUAGUAUAAUUGGGAAAUCGUUUAAACUGUGAUGGUAUAAAUUAGAAAAGGAUCUUAGUUGUUGUGCAGAGCAAUAAGAAGGAGAAUUAUGGCAUAAGAAUGUAUACAAACCUCUCUGACCUCUAUUUUAAAAGUGGACGCGCACAAGAUGUUUGUUAAUAGUCCUAAUAGGGACUGUUUGCUCAAAUGAUGAAAUUGAGUAGAAAUUGAUGCUAAGAAUAAGUGUAAGAACAUUAUAUGUAGAUAAUUAAAUGAAGUUGAAUUAAGUGGGAAACCUAUUUUAAGAAAAAUAAUAUGUUAAUGUUAAUUUAUAAACUGUUUUGGUAAAGUACUUUUAACAUUCUAUAAAACUUACUUAGAACAUUAUAU
rnacentral:lncRNA from 1 species